CGUAUCACCCAAGACAACUUUACGGAGUUGACGAUUGACGGAGCGAAGCGACGUCAAAGCGUUCAUUAAAGUCGAGUUGGCUUAGGGAUACGUUCGUUGGGUAGGGGAGCGUUCUGUAAGCCUGUGAAGGUGUGUCGUGAGGCAUGCUGGAGGUAUCAGAAGUGCGAAUGCUGACAUAAGUAACGAUAAAGCGGGUGAAAAGCCCGCUCGCCGGAAGACCAAGGGUUCCUGUCCAACGUUAAUCGGGGCAGGGUGAGUCGACCCCUAAGGCGAGGCCGAAAGGCGUAGUCGAUGGGAAACGGGUUAAUAUUCCCGUACUUGGUGUUACUGCGAAGGGGGGACGGAGAAGGCUAUGUUGGCCGGGCGACGGUUGUCCCGGUUUAAGCGUGUAGGUGUGUGUUCCAGGUAAAUCCGGUUCACUUUAACACUGAGGCGUGACGACGAGGCACUACGGUGCUGAAGCAACAAAUGCCCUGCUUCCAGGAAAAGCCUCUAAGCAUCAGGUAACAUCAAAUCGUACCCCAAACCGACACAGGUGGUCAGGUAGAGAAUACCAAGGCGCUUGAGAGAACUCGGGUGAAGGAACUAGGCAAAAUGGUGCCGUAACUUCGGGAGAAGGCACGCUGACACGUAGGUGAAGUGAUUUACUCAUGGAGCUGAAGUCAGUCGAAGAUACCAGCUGGCUGCAACUGUUUAUUAAAAACACAGCACUGUGCAAACACGAAAGUGGACGUAUACGGUGUGACGCCUGCCCGGUGCCGGAAGGUUAAUUGAUGGGGUCAGCGCAAGCGAAGCUCCUGAUCGAAGCCCCGGUAAACGGCGGCCGUAACUAUAACGGUCCUAAGGUAGCGAAAUUCCUUGUCGGGUAAGUUCCGACCUGCACGAAUGGCGUAAUGAUGGCCAGGCUGUCUCCACCCGAGACUCAGUGAAAUUGAACUCGCUGUGAAGAUGCAGUGUACCCGCGGCAAGACGGAAAGACCCCGUGAACCUUUACUAUAGCUUGACACUGAACAUUGAGCCUUGAUGUGUAGGAUAGGUGGGAGGCUUUGAAGUGUGGACGCCAGUCUGCAUGGAGCCGACCUUGAAAUACCACCCUUUAAUGUUUGAUGUUCUAACGUGGACCCGUAAUCCGGGUUGCGGACAGUGUCUGGUGGGUAGUUUGACUGGGGCGGUCUCCUCCUAAAGAGUAACGGAGGAGCACGAAGGUUGGCUAAUCCUGGUCGGACAUCAGGAGGUUAGUGCAAUGGCAUAAGCCAGCUUGACUGCGAGCGUGACGGCGCGAGCAGGUGCGAAAGCAGGUCAUAGUGAUCCGGUGGUUCUGAAUGGAAGGGCCAUCGCUCAACGGAUAAAAGGUACUCCGGGGAUAACAGGCUGAUACCGCCCAAGAGUUCAUAUCGACGGCGGUGUUUGGCACCUCGAUGUCGGCUCAUCACAUCCUGGGGCUGAAGUAGGUCCCAAGGGUAUGGCUGUUCGCCAUUUAAAGUGGUACGCGAGCUGGGUUUAGAACGUCGUGAGACAGUUCGGUCCCUAUCUGCCGUGGGCGCUGGAGAACUGAGGGGGGCUGCUCCUAGUACGAGAGGACCGGAGUGGACGCAUCACUGGUGUUCGGGUUGUCAUGCCAAUGGCACUGCCCGGUAGCUAAAUGCGGAAGAGAUAAGUGCUGAAAGCAUCUAAGCACGAAACUUGCCCCGAGAUGA
rnacentral:rRNA from 1 species